rnacentral:rRNA from 1 species
AGAAUCAACGCUGGCGGCGUGCCUAACACAUGCAAGUCGCACGAGAAAGUGGAGCAAUCCAUGAGUACAGUGGCGCACGGGUGAGUAACACGUGAAUCAUCUACCUCCGAGUGGGGAAUAACCUAGAGAAAUCUGGGCUAAUACCGCAUAACACUUACGAGUCAAAGCAGCAAUGCGCUUGGAGAGGAGUUCGCGGCCGAUUAGCUAGUUGGCGGGGUAAUGGCCCACCAAGGCGAUGAUCGGUAC